AUGAACGCUGGCGGCGUGCCUAAUACAUGCAAGUCGAGCGAACAGACGAGGAGCUUGCUCCUCUGACGUUAGCGGCGGACGGGUGAGUAACACGUGGAUAACCUACCUAUAAGACUGGGAUAACUUCGGGAAACCGGAGCUAAUACCGGAUAAUAUAUUGAACCGCAUGGUUCAAUAGUGAAAGACGGUUUUGCUGUCACUUAUAGAUGGAUCCGCGCCGCAUUAGCUAGUUGGUAAGGUAACGGCUUACCAAGGCAACGAUGCGUAGCCGACCUGAGAGGGGGAUCGGCCACACGGGAACUGAGACACGGUCCAGACUCAUGCGGGAGGCAGCAGUAGGGAAUCUUCCGCAAUGGGAGAAAGCCUGACGGAGCAACGCCGGGUGAGUGAUAAAGGUCUUCGGAUCGUAAAACUCUGUUAUUAGGGAAGAAAAAAUGUGUAAGUAACUAUGCACGUCUUGACGGUACCUAAUCAGAAAGCCAGGGCUAACUACGUG
rnacentral:rRNA from 1 species